rfam:Verruconis gallopava strain CBS 43764 unplaced genomic scaffold supercont1.21, whole genome shotgun sequence.
GGCGCUGUGGCUGAGUGGUUAAAGCGAUAGACUAGAAAUCUAUUUCGUAAGCACAAUCCAAGUUCCCGCAUCACGAAUCAGAUCAUUAACAACAAAAUAGCUUCGGGAGCGCAGGUUCGAGUCCUGCCGGCGUCG